GAUGAACGCUGGCGGCGUGCCUAAUACAUGCGAGUCGAGCGAACAGACGAGGAGCUUGCUCCUCUGACGUUAGCGGCGGACGGGUGAGUAACACGUGGAUAACCUACCUAUAAGACUGGGAUAACUUCGGGAAACCGGAGCUAAUACCGGAUAAUAUAUUGAACCGCAUGGUUCAAUAGUGAAAGACGGUUUUGCUGUCACUUAUAGAUGGAUCCGCGCCGCAUUAGCUAGUUGGUAAGGUAACGGCUUACCAAGGCAACGAUGCGUAGCCGACCUGAGAGGGUGAUCGGCCACACUGGAACUGAGACACGGUCCAGACUCCUACGGGAGGCAGCAGUAGGGAAUCUUCCGCAAUGGGCGAAAGCUUGACGGAGCAACGCCGCGUGAGUGAUGAAGGUCUUCGGAUCGUAAAACUCUGUUAUUAGGGAAGAACAAAUGUGUAAGUAACUAUGCACGUCUUGACGGUACCUAAUCAGAAAGCCACGGCUAACUCCGUG
rnacentral:rRNA from 1 species